rnacentral:tRNA from 1 species
GCGGAAGUGGCGGAACUGGCAGACGCGCUGGACUUAGGAUCCAGUGCCUUCGGGUAUGAGGGUUCGAGUCCCUCCUUCCGCA